rnacentral:tRNA from 1 species
GGAGAAGUGUCCGAGCUGGUUUAAGGAGCACGCUUGGAAAGCGUGUGAGCUGUCAAAGGCUCCCAGGGUUCGAAUCCCUGCUUCUCCGCCA